GGGGCUUAUCUCAUUUAUGUGAGGGCCAUCCUGGUGGUGUAGCUAUCUAGGGACCAAUUCGCUAUUCCUAGCUGGGGUCACAGGGAACCAACCAGUCUUCAUGUUGGAAAAAAAUGCAAUUUGGAGUAUCCACAAAACCUCCAGCGCCAAUAUCAAGGAGAUUGUAAAGAAGAUGACCCUGAACUUGGAGUAUUUGAAGGGAUGCAGGAGCUCAGCAGCUGCCAUCACCCUCAGAAGAGAACUGCUGUCGCCUAGGUGCCCCUAACUUGCAGGUUCUCAUAGAAGCAUAUGUCCUCCAAACCACUGUGUAUUCUACACUAAAGCACUUUGAAGAGAAGUGCAGAACUCACCACACACUUCCAAAGGUACCUCUGACAACUCUCUUCCCACAGAGUCAGAACUGCAUCACAAUAUCCACGCAUGUCUGAUCGCUUCACAGAACCCCUCAGCACCACUCUGCAUUCCAGUUUCUACAAAUGUCUAAACUCCAGUGUUUAGUCUGUGGCCGUGUGUGUCACCUGGCAAUAUGGAUUUGCUCAAGAUGAGAAUCAAUGGUCCCAGGCAAUCUCCAGGUCCCACUGUCUGGGUUCCUCUGGCUGUUUCCCCCAUGGUACCUUUCAGCUUUCUGCUGUGUCCCUGUCUGCUCUUCCUUUCAAUGAAGGGUAUGGAGCACUGGGGUGCAGGGAAGCAGGGGUCCCUUACUUUAGUCUGAAGUCAGAGUUUCCAGGACAUGUCUCCUGAGGUAGUCUUGAAGAACGGAUGAGCAUUAUACCAGCCAAAGAAGGCAAGAUGCACAUCCCAGGCAGAGAGAAGACCCAGGUAGGCACGAGUACAGGACACAGCAGGAUGGUCUCAGCAGGGCAAGCAGGCCAUGAUGAGCAGGGUUCAAGUGUGGGAGAGUAUGAGUGAUGAAGGCUAGAGACAGAAGAGUGGCCUUAGGGAAGCAGAGUGUUCUCUGAGAGAACUUGGACUUCAGUUGGAGAGUAAUAGGGACUUACUGAGAGAUGUCAAGAAGAACACAGCAGGUCAAGUCUACGUGUUAAGGGGCUCAUGUUGGUGUACUGGGCCAAGGAGGGAUGAUGUAGGGAGGUGAACCAUCCAGCCAGGAGGAUCAUUCAGAACUGAUGAAGCUGGGGUCUGGGCAGUAGAAAGGAAUGGGUGGACCUGGAAUAGGGAGGCUCUAUUGGUUUUUUGGGGGGGGACGAGUGGUGAGGGAGGACAUAAAGACUAUCUGUGGAUGUCUGACACAGAUCACUAGACAGAUGCUUGUGCCCUUUAUUAAAGGGAGGGAACGAAAUGUGAGAAAGAGACCAGGGUGGCCAGGACUCAUUCUUAGAAAUGUCUUAUGUUUGGUGUCUGAAGAGCCUUCAUUACAGCUUCCUCACUAGGGUUGGGCAGGUUUAAGUUAAGUGUGCUGGUUGGCUGCUCAGGUAUGUAUGCCUGAGCUCUGAGGACAUAUGGAAAGCACACAUGCUGCCAGAAGAUAAAUAGCAACUGUCAUUCUGAGAAUCACUGGAGUCACCAAGUCAUAGAUAGAAAAGAGCUAUGGGCUGAUGGUGGCAGAGUGGCCCGAGUCAGUAGACAGAGGAAGGGUACAGAGUACGGUGGCCAGAAGCUGCUGGGGAGAGUUUUAAGAACAAUAUAGAGGUUCCUAGCAUUCCGUUCUAAAGAUCCAAGGAGUCAGAUGGCAAAUAGCACCAUAAAUUGGAGAACAGGAGGGAGGGAGGUCACGAGUGUCAUUUGCCAAUGUCAUUUGGCUUAGAAGGAGGAAAAGAGUGGUGCCCUUGGGUCAGUCUUCCAGCCUGGGCACUUCGUCCCAGAAGGAGAGGUGCAGAGAGACUAAAGCAAUGGGGUAAAAAAUAUCUCAAGUUAAAAUAUUGGAGCCAAGCAGUUGUCACGCCAAAACUGUUGACCCAGUCACAUGUUUGUCCUGGAAGCCAAGCCUCUCACAUACUCCUUGAGAGUCAUGGGGGCCCACUAAGCCUGUGUCCUUCCUUCCAGAAGACCCCACAGAUUGGAAUAUAGCGGCUCUCCCACCUUGAAUGCCUGCUGUUCCUCAGCCUGUCUCCCUCUCCAGCAUCUGAGUACCUCUGUGUCCUGCCCCCAACCCCCGCUCCUUCAAACUCAGCACUUUGGAAUCUCUCUCUCUCUAUCAGCAAAAGACAUGACACCCCAAUAAUAUUGAUCCAGAUCACUAUGUUUUUUACUGCCCAAUUUUCUCUCCCACCCAACUGAGGUAUUUCUGAGUAGACAUUUUGGGGUUGGAUAUUUUUUGUAUUGUUGUAGUUUGUUUUUAUUUGUUGACCUAGGGUCUCACUGUAGAACCUUAAACUCCUCCUCUUCUACUUCAUCCUCCUCAGUGCUAGGAUGACAAGCAUAAGCCGCUACACUCAGAAACCCAUAACCAAGAGCCGGGUGUGGUAACACGCACCUUUAGUCCUAGCAAAGGCAAGCAGAUCUGUGAGUUUGAGGCCAGCCUGACCUAUAGACUGAGUGAGUUCCAGGACAGCCAGAGAAAGAAACCCUUUCUCAAAAUAUCAAAAAAGUAAGUAAAAAUAGUCAAGUAAAAAAA
rnacentral:lncRNA from 1 species